GGUUAAGUGACUAAGCGUACACGGUGGAUGCCUUGGCAGUCAGAGGCGAUGAAGGACGUAUUAACUUGCGAUAAGCCCAGAUUAGGUAGUAAAAACCAUUUGAGUCUGGGAUUUCCGAAUGGGGAAACCCAAUACCAUAAGGUAUUACUGUUGAGUGAAUACAUAGCUCAACAGGGCGAACCGGGGGAACUGAAACAUCUAAGUACCCCGAGGAAAAGAAAUCAACCGAGAUUCCGAAAGUAGCGGCGAGCGAAAUUGGACUAGCCCUUAAGCUUUACACGCGUUAGACGAACAGCCUGGAAAGGCCGACGAUACAGGGUGAUAGUCCCGUAGUUGACGACGUGUGUUCAGUGAAAUCGAGUAGGGCGGGACACGUGAUAUCCUGUCUGAAUAUGGGGGGACCAUCCUCCAAGGCUAAAUACUACUGACUGACCGAUAGUGAACCAGUACCGUGAGGGAAAGGCGAAAAGAACCCCUGUGAGGGGAGUGAAAUAGAACCUGAAACCGUGUACGUACAAGCAGUAGGAGCAGGCUUUGUCCUGUGACUGCGUACCUUUUGUAUAAUGGGUCAGCGACUUAUAUUCAGUGGCAAGGUUAACCAUCUAGGGGAGCCGUAGGGAAACCGAGUCUUAACUGGGCGUUCAGUCUCUGGAUAUAGACCCGAAACCAGGUGAUCUAGCCAUGGGCAGGUUGAAGGUUGAGUAACAUCAACUGGAGGACCGAACCGACUAAUGUUGAAAAAUUAGCGGAUGACUUGUGGCUAGGGGUGAAAGGCCAAUCAAACCUGGAGAUAGCUGGUUCUCCCCGAAAGCUAUUUAGGUAGCGCCUCGGACGAAUACUACUGGGGGUAGAGCACUGUUAAGGCUAGGGGGUCAUCCCGACUUACCAACCCUUUGCAAACUCCGAAUACCAGUAAGUACUAUCCGGGAGACACACGGCGGGUGCUAACGUCCGUCGUGGAGAGGGAAACAACCCAGACCGCCAGCUAAGGUCCCAAAUUA
rnacentral:rRNA from 1 species